rnacentral:rRNA from 1 species
GUCUGCAUUCGUACGGAGGUGUCCUAGUGGCGACCGGUUGAGUAACACGUAGGCGACCUGCCCGGAAGCGGGGGAUAACCCUUGGAAACGGGGGCUAAUACCCCAUACGCUCCGUGGGGUUAGAGGACCACGGAGGAAAGGAGCAAUCCGCUUUGGGAGGGGCCUGCGGCCCAUCAGCUAGUUGGUAGGGUAACGGCCUACCAAGGCUACGACGGGUAGGGGGCCUGAGAGGGUGGUCCCCCACACUGGCACUGAAACACGGGCCAGACACCUACGGGUGGCAGCAGUAGGGAAUAUUGCCCAAUGGACGAAAGUCUGAGGCAGCAACGCCGCGUGCGCGAUGAAGGCCUUCGGGUUGUAAAGCGCUUUUCUGGGGGAAGAGGAAGGACGGUACCCCAGGAAUAAGUCUCGGCUAACUACGUGCCAGCAGCCGCGGUAAAACGUAGGAGGCGAGCGUUAUCCGGAUUUACUGGGCGUAAAGGGCGUGUAGGUGGUUUUGUAAGUCAGACGUGAAAGCCCUCUGCUCAACAGGGGAAGUGCGUUUGAAACUGCAUUACUUGAGUUCGGGAGAGGAGAGCGGAAUUUCCAGUGUAGCGGUGAAAUGCGUAGAUAUUGGAAAGAACACCGGUGGCGAAGGCGGCUCUCUGGCCCGUUACUGACGCUGAGACGCGAAAGCUA